GACGAACGCUGGCGGCGUGCUUAACACAUGCAAGUCGAACGCUGAAGCUCAGCUUUUGUUGGAUGGAUGAGUGGCGAACGGGUGAGUAACACGUGAGUAACCUGCCCCCUUCUUUGGGAUAACGCCCGGAAACGGGUGCUAAUACUGGAUAUUCACUGGUCUUCGCAUGGGGGUUGGUGGAAAGGGUUUUUCUGGUGGGGGAAGGGCUCGCGGACUAUCAGCUUGUUGGUGGGGUGAUGGCCUACCAAGGCUUUGACGGGUGGCCGGCCUGAGAGGGUGACCGGUCACAUUGGGACUGAGAUACGGCCCAGACUCCGGCGGGAGGCAGUAGUGGGGAAUAUUGCGCAAUGGGCGGAAGCCUGAUGCAGCGACGGCGCGUGAGGGAUGGAGGCCUUCGGGUUGUGAACCUCUUUCGCUAAUGGUCAAGCCGCAACAAUGGUUGUGGUGAGGGUAGUGGGUAAAGAAGCGCCGGCUAACUACGUG
rnacentral:rRNA from 1 species